AAUGAACGCUGGCGGCGUGCCUAACACAUGCAAGUCGAGCGAGAAAGGGGCUUCGGCCCUGAGUAAAGCGGCGGACGGGUGAGUAACACGUAGGUAAUCUUCCCUUGAGCGGGGGACAACGGUCCGAAAGGACCGCUAAUACCGCAUACGUUUCCGGGGACUCUGGUCUCCGGAAGGAAAGCUAGGUCGCAAGAUCUGGCACUCGAGGAGGAGCCUGCGUCGCAUCAGCUAGUUGGUGGGGUAACGGCCUACCAAGGCGAAGACGCGUAGCUGGUCUGAGAGGAUGAUCAGCCACACUGGGACUGAGACACGGCCCAGACUCCUACGGGAGGCAGCAGUGGGGAAUAUUGGACAAUGGGCGCAAGCCUGAUCCAGCCACGCCGCGUGAGUGAUGAAGGCCUUCGGGUCGUAAAGCUCUGUGGGGAGGGACGAACCGCUGGAUGUGCAUAGCAUCCAGCAUGACGGUACCUCCUUAGCAAGCACCGGCUAACUUCGUGCCAGCCGCCGCAGUAAGAC
rnacentral:rRNA from 1 species